rnacentral:rRNA from 1 species
UACGGAGGUCCCAAGCGUUGUUCGGAAUCACUGGGCGUAAAGCGUGUGUAGGCGGCAGAGUAAGUCAGAUGUGAAAUCCCGGGGCUCAACCCCGGAACUGCAUCCGAUACUGCUUUGCUAGAGUAGCGGAGGGGCAUAUGGAAUUCACGGUGUAGCAGUGAAAUGCGUAGAUAUCGUGAGGAACACUAGAGGCGAAGGCGAUAUGCUGGACGCUUACUGACGCUCAAACACGAAGGCUAGGGUAGCGAAAGGG